GCUUGGGAAUAUGCCUUGAGGUGGGGACAACAGUUGGAGGCGACUGCUAAUACCGCAUAAUGUCUACGGACCAAAGGAGGAGAUCUUCGGACCUUUCGCCUUUAGAUUAGCCCAAGUGAGAUUAGCUAGAUGGUGGGGUAAUGGCCUACCAUGGCGACGAUCUCUAGCUGGUUUGAGAGGAUGAUCAGCCACACUGGGACUGAGACACGGCCCAGACUCCUACGGGAGGCAGCAGUGGGGAAUAUUGCGCAAUGGGCGAAAGCCUGACGCAGCGACGCCGCGUGAGGGAUGAAGGCCUCG
rnacentral:rRNA from 1 species